AGUGUGUGCCGCCCCCCUUGGGAUGGAUGAAACUGCAGUCGCGGCGUGGGUAAGAGGAACCAGCUGCAGAGAUCACCCUGCCCAACACAGACUCGGCAACUCCGCGGAAGACCAGGGUCCUGGGAGUGACUAUGGGCGGUGAGAGCUUGCUCCUGCUCCAGUUGCGGUCAUCAUGACUACGCCCGCCUCCCGCAGACCAUGUUCCAUGUUUCUUUUAGGUAUAUCUUUGGACUUCCUCCCCUGAUCCUUGUUCUGUUGCCAGUAGCAUCAUCUGAUUGUGAUAUUGAAGGUAAAGAUGGCAAACAAUAUGAGAGUGUUCUAAUGGUCAGCAUCGAUCAAUUAUUGGUAUGUGAUUAUUUUGUUUUACUCACAUUUUCAUGCAUUGGGAAAAUUUGAACCUUUUUGGUAUGCAGUUUUAUAAUCAAGUAUUCAUCUUUCUUGACAAGAAAGUGAAGUAACUAUAGAAUAAAAUUUAAUGAGCUACUAACUGUAUAUUUUUAUAGCUGACAUAAUUAUGUAGCUUAAAAAUAAUUCUUUCCUCGACUCUAAGAUUCUCACAACUAUUCAUUUCAGUCCUAUUUCC
rnacentral:ncRNA from 2 species